UACAGAGGGUGCGAGCGUUAAUCGGAAUUACUGGGCGUAAAGCGCGCGUAGGCGGCUUUGCAAGUCGGGUGUGAAAUCCCCAGGCUUAACCUGGGAACUGCAUUCGAGACUGCAUUGCUAGAGUAUGGGAGAGGGAAGUGGAAUUUCCGGUGUAGCGGUGAAAUGCGUAGAUAUCGGGAGGAACACCUGAGGCGAAGGCGGGCUACUGGGCCGAUACUGACGCUGAUGCGCGAAAGCCAGGGGAGCGAACGGG
rnacentral:rRNA from 1 species